rnacentral:rRNA from 1 species
CACGGGGGGAGCAAGCGUUGUUCGGAAUCACUGGGCGUAAAGGGCGUGUAGGCGGUCAGGUAAGUGGGACGUGAAAUGCCUCGGCUCACCCGAGGAGCGGCGUCCCAUACUGCUUGGCUUGAAUCCGGAAGAGGAGAGUGGAAUUCCUGGUGUAGCGGUGAAAUGCGCAGAUAUCAGGAAGAACACCAAUGGCGAAGGCAGCUCUCUGGGACGGUACUGACGCUGAGACGCGAAAGCGUGGGGAGCGAACAGG